GGAGAAGACAGGGGCGGAGAUGUAGAUCUGCGUGUCAUCUACGUAGAGAUGGUAGUCAAACCGGCCUGCCCGCCCACCUUGUUUGUGGAGUCCUAACCUCAAGGUAGUGAGGGGAAAAACAGACCGCUCUGUUGCUGACCCGCUAUCUUCGUGGAAGGGAAGAAAGAGGAGAAAAGGUAUCUGGUGGGCAGAGCAGAGUCCAACAUGUCCGAAGCUGUGCAAGCCUGAAGCCAAACAUGGUCGCAGCCAAGUAUGCCGGCCGCCGAGUAUGGCCUGAGGAUUGGCAACACGAUGGGGAUGGUGGACAUCCACCGCGUGGGACCCAGGGGCGGCUCGGGGUUACCGACCGGCCUGAUUAACGAGAAUCCCAGCGGACAUCCCGCUUCCACUGCCUGAGAUGGAGGGCCAAGGGUGGGAGCUGAUAGUGGAUGUUUUGUUGGGUCAGGAGCUCCGGCAAACUGUUCAUCUGCUGCUGCUGCUGCUCCUGAGACUAUGAGGCUGCAGAAUGGCAUGGGGUGUCCUUCCCCUCUCAUCCGAUCUACAUUCAGGUAGCUUGUUUCUUGGAAUGUGAAGGUGACCGAGGGGGAGGCCUCUCCUUCUGAGUAGGCGGCUGAAGGGCCCAAGCGUGACUGACUCCAUCGUGUACAGCAGAUACUGAAAACUGUCCUUCACCACCGGGUGCACUAGAAUGAUUGCAGCCUAGGUUUGAAUUUCUGCCUUAAAUCUGGGGUAAGUGAAGCAGUUUAGAGCGUUAAGAGGAUUUUUAUAUAUUAAUCGGAUUGUUUUUCCCCCAAACCAGUUUGGAUUGACACUGUGUUUAUGGCAUCUACCCAAUUAUCUCAGCGGCUCUCUAAUGCUGCAUCUUGAGGGGUGCAUCUUUCCUCUUCCAAGGAAGGCAGGGUGACCUAGUGCAAAGAGGAUGGAACUGAUCAGGGUCUAAUCUCAGCUCUGUCACAGAACUGAUGGGCACCAUUGGAUAAGUCACAGCCUGGAGGUAGUUCAGUUUUCUCAUCUGAAAAUGGGGAUAGGAUUCUAGCUUUCCCAGAUUAACCUGUGACUAUCCCAUGGCUUUGCACAAAAUAAGCGCUUGGUAAAUGCCACAGAAGUCUCUCCAGUUCAACCCCGCCACCGUAUUUCUGGCCGCCUGAGUGCAGACCUGGUGCCUGGCACCUCCCUCGGCUGGGUCCCCAAGGAGUCGGAUCGUCCGCCCUCUCUCCAAAGCGCCAGCAGGAGGAAGAGGUGGCGGAGCAGCUGGACCCCCUGGAUCCAGACUUAUUUAGAGGGUGGUGGGGAGACAUGGACUCAUCUAGGCAUCUGAAGAAACGAGUACCCUCACCCCACCCCACCCCCUCGUUCAGGGGAGCUGGAGUGGAGCCUGCCAGGUUCAGCCUCAUCCAGUUCCCACUCCUACUUUUCUCCAAGAUUCACAGUAGGUCCUGAAACCUCCAAGCAUUUAAUAGCACUCAGAUCAAAGUAACUUCUCUCUCUCUGUCUGAUGGGGAUUUUUGCCAGGGUUUCUUGGGCCCCUGCAGCAGAUUGACUCUUUGAUGUUACAGGCCCCAGCAAGCUUCCUACAGCUUCUGAUGGAUGCAGAUGGGAACACAUCACCCCCAUCUCCACCGGGAGCUGCCUUUAGCCUGCCCACACUGCACCUGGAAAGUUAAGCCAAGCCUGUGGGGCAGGAGCCCUAAGGAAACUAGUCCAAGCCUUGAAGGAAUCACGCCUGGAAACAGAAAGGACAACUGGAGCUAUGGCGUUCAACCCAUUGCAACACCACACCGGCAUGCAACUCUUUCUUCUGAUGUCAUGGAGUGCCAUAUGCAGAAGGGCUCAGAUGAGCAGCAUAAAUAAGUUUGGCCACUGGGAAUACAGUACAGGGGUGGGACAACAAUCCCAUAUUUGAAGACCUACUUCUAGCACCAGCAUCGAGAAUUCAAUCCAUCUCAGGACUCACAGAACCCAGGACAACUUGCGCGUUGAAGAGUGUAAAUGGAAGCAACAGUAAAUAGAUUAACAGAGGCUAAUACUGUGAUUGAUUGACAUUGGCAAUGGUUGGCAAAAAAAAAAAAAGAAGAAAAAAGAAAAAAAAGCUUCUUUUCUGAUAAAACUGUACAAAAACAAUUCACAGUAAAAUUUUUAGCUUUCCAUACCAGAAAAA